rnacentral:rRNA from 1 species
GUAAGGAAUAUUGGUCAAUGGACGCAAGUCUGAACCAGCCAUGCCGCGUGAAGGAUGAAGGUCCUCUGGAUUGUAAACUUCUUUUAUCUGGGACGAAAACGGGAUUUUUAUCUCAAUUGACGGUACCAGAGGAAUAAGCACCGGCUAACUCCGUGCCAGCAGCCGCGGUAAUACGGAGGGUGCGAGCGUUAUCCGGAUUUACUGGGUUUAAAGGGUGCGUAGGUGGGCUUAUAAGUCAGUGGUGAAAUCUCCGAGCUUAACUUGGAAACUGCCGUUGAUACUAUAGGUCUUGAAUUAUCUGGAGGUAAGCGGAAUAUGUCAUGUAUCGGUGAAAUGCUUAGAUAUGACAUAGAACACCAAUUGCGAAGGCAGCUUACUACAUAUAAAUUGACGCUGAGGCACGAAAGCGUGGGGAUCAAACA